rnacentral:lncRNA from 1 species
AUGCAGUUGGCAAGCUGGAGACCCAAGAAGAGCCAAUAUUUCAGUUUGAGUCUGAAGGCAGGAAAAGACUGAUGUCCCAUCUCAAAGCAGUCAGGCAGAGGGAGUUCCCUCUUGUUCUCACUCAAGGAAGGAUGGCGCAGUGCUCCCGCUGUUCCGAGGCUCAGCUACCCUGAGGGAGGCAGGGAAUUUUGAUCAGCUUCUGAAGAAUCACCUCAUCUCUCCCCGCAGAGAGCACAGAGCACAGGACUUCACGUUAUGUCAACAUCUCUUGCAAAAGCCCAGCUCCUAGAGAGCAGGAGCCUUCCCAGACUGUGUCAAAUUACCUCGGGGAUGGAGAGACUUACAUGGCAUUAAUAGAAAUCAAAUGGCAGAGCUCGGGUUUCUGAUGAGUCUCCUGAGGUUCAGAAGGGUGAGAUGACACAUUCAAGGUCACAUGGCUCAUUUGUGUUGGAGUCAGAAGUUUCCAGAUUUCUUGACUUUUAGUCCAAGGAGCAGUCCCUGUGCAUGUGUCAGAGUUGAACAAGCCAGGUUCCAGGAGAGCAGAUGGUCCUGAAGAAGGUCUUCCUGGCUGAUCUGAGAGGUGACACAGAAGAAUAAAGAAGGGAAGGAUGAGAUGAGCUUCUGAGUUUGGAAACUGCAUUGAUGUUGAAGAUGGUCUCAAAGUUGUGAAACAUAGAAAUACGCUGUAAGAAAUAAUCCCAAAAUUGACGUGAUGGAUUAAAGAUGAAAAAACAUGCCUUGGAAUACCUAAUGGGAACAUUAGUCUAUCUCUACACCCAGAUCAACAUGACUGAAUAUAGCUUUCUUAAAAAAGCAGUUGAAUUCAGCAAGGCAAUUAUUCUAUUGCUCAAUAAGACUUAAUAUUUGGAUUGAUUGAAUUUCCUUUGCUUUUUAUUUUGGAGUCUAUGUUCAUAGCCUCAAUAUAAGAGUGAAAAUUUUCACACAGAAACAAUACAUAAUCCAAUAAAGAGCCAGAUACAAGACAUUCUUUUAUUUGGAAAUAUUCAAGGGAGUGUUUAAGCAAGGGAUGUCUUCUGAUAGAGAUAAGUACAGUCUAAUUGGACAAAUGUUGACAGUGCCCCAUUAAGUGUGGGCACAUGAUAGGCACUGAGAUCCACAGGGCAUGAGGGGUGGAGGGGAGCACCCUGAGGAAACAGAAGUCAUGGAGAAUAAUUCUGAUUGAGGAAGUCAGGAGGGCUUCACAGAGGAGGAGACCUUUGAGCUGGGCCUUGAAGAAAGACUAUGAUUUACAGAGGGGGAGAUUUUUCACAGGAAGGGCAUUUGAGCUGAAGAAAUAUGGACAAAGGAAUAUAAAUGAAUCAGUGCCCACUGGGCUUACAGUCAGCCCAAUAGUCUGAUGUACCUGGAG